rnacentral:rRNA from 1 species
UACGUAGGGGGCAAGCGUUGUCCGGAUUUAUUGGGCGUAAAGAGCGUGUAGGCGGCUAGGUAGGUCCGUUGUGAAAACUCGAGGCUCAACCUCGAGACGCCGGUGGAAACCGUAAAGCUAGAGUCCGGAAGAGGAGAGUGGAAUUCCUGGUGUAGCGGUGAAAUGCGCAGAUAUCAGGAGGAACACCGAUGGCGAAGGCAGGUCUCUGGGCUGACACUGACGCUCAUGCUCGAAAGCGUGGGGAGCAAACAGG